GGCGGCGUGCUUAACACAUGCAAGUCGAACGCGAACGAGUUCUUCGGAACUUUAGUAGAGUGGNCGCACGGGUGAGUAACGCGUAAGUAAUCUACCCUGAUAUCUGGGAUAACAAUUCGAAAGGAUUGCUAAUACCGGAUACGUUGAUUUAUCAAGAAAGAUGGCCUCUUCAUGAAAGCUACUGUAUCGGGAGGAGCUUGCGUACCAUUAGCUAGUUGGUGGGGUAAUGGCCUACCAAGGCAACGAUGGUUAGCGGGUCUGAGAGGAUGAUCCGCCACACUGGAACUGAAACACGGACCAGACUCCUACGGGAGGCAGCAGUGAGGAAUAUUGCGCAAUGGGAGCAACCCUGACGCAGCGACGCCGCGUGGAUGAUGAAGGCUUUCCGGUCGUAAAAUCCUGUCAGAUGGGAAGAAAUGAUUCAUGGUUAAUACCUAUGUUUUUUGACGGUACCAUCAAAGGAAGCACCGGCUAACUCCGUGCCAGCAGCCGCGGUAAUACGGAGGGUGCAAGCGUUGUUCGGAAUUACUGGGCGUAAAGCGCGCGUAGGCGGCUUUUUAAGUCAGAUGUGAAAGUCCUCGGCUCAACCGAGGAAGUGCA
rnacentral:rRNA from 1 species